GCGUGCUUAACACAUGCAAGUCGAGUGCGCGCUUGUAGCAAUACAAGUGGCGCACGGCGCACGGGUGCGUAACACGUGGGCAAUCUGCCCUCCGAUGGGGAAUAACCCCGCGAAAGCGGGGCUAAUACCGCAUAACAUUCCUUGGACUUAGGUUUGAGGAUUCAAAACCGCAAGGUGUCGGAGGAGGAGCCCGCGCCCGAUUAGCUAGUUGGUGAGGUAACGGCUCACCAAGGCAAUGAUCGGUAGCUGGUCUGAGAGGAUGAUCAGCCACACUAGAACUGAGACACGGUCCAGACUCCUACGGGAGGCAGCAGUGGGGAAUCUUGCGCAAUGGGCGAAAGCCUGACGCAGCGACGCCGCGUGGGGGAUGAAGCAUCUCGGUGUGUAAACCCCUUUCGACUGGGACGAAUGCCCGCAAGGGAGUGACGGUACCAGUAGAAGAAGCCCCGGCUAACUACGUGCCAGCAGCCGCGGUAAGACGUAGGGGGCCAGCGUUGUUCGGAAUUACUGGGUGUAAAGGGUUCGUAAGCGGUGCGGCAAGUUGGGAGUGAAAUCUCUGGGCUCAACCCAGAGGCUGCUUCCAAAACUGCUGUGC
rnacentral:rRNA from 1 species